CUGACGCUUCAAAAUGCGUCAUUAUAUGAUAUCAAAUAAUUUAUUAAAUGAUGAUAAAUUUUACUAUUAUUUUUAAUUUUUCGACGCUUUAAAGCGUCAGGAUUUUAAAAAUCCUGACACUUUAAAGCGUAAAUCCUAACGCUUUAAAGCGUCAGAAUGUAUUUUACCGACGCUUGGUAUAAGCGUCAAUAUAUACGUGGCGACUCUUUAUUUGCCGACGCUUUGA
rnacentral:lncRNA from 1 species